AUAGAUAACAAAAAAAAAUCACUUUCGCUGGUUUAUGUUUCUUCUAGAGGCAAUUUUCUAAGCUGAUGUUAUUUUUAACGAUGAUGAGAGAAAUAUUUUGUUGACUAUUUUAUAAUGCAAGCAAAAGAGAAGAGUUUUGUCUGGAAUUUUAUAUCAUUGGUUAGAAAGUUUCAUUAUAUUGGCAAGAACUCCUUUUACUUUGUUUAAAUAUUUAAAAAAAUAACAAAAGUAUUUCAACUUUAAAAUAUUUCUUCGCUUUGGAGAUACUGAAGAUGUGAGAAUUAAUUAUAAUAUUGAAAUAAUACGAGCUGUGGAGAAAGAGUAGUCGUUUCGUAUAGAAAAAUUGCGAAAAAAAAGAAUGUUUUGAAAAAAAGGAAGUGAAUUGUAAUGACGAAAAAAGAAGAAAAUGACGACAGUAGACAACGAAAGUGACGAAUACAAUAUUCGAACCUUGAGUACAAUAACAAAUGCAAUAAUCCAAAGAAUCUUGAUAUGAUGACCAUGACAAAUAAGCAUAUAUACCUCAACAUCACAUAAUUAUUGUGCAAUAUUUCGGGUGAAAGGAAAUUUUAGACAACCGGUUUCUAUAUACGUUUUAAAGGGAAUAUAUAAGCGCAGUAGUGGGAAGCUAUUGUGGAAGAAAAGCAAACAUAUACAGGUGUUUAUUAGUGUUAGAAGAGGAGUUAGCCGAGUAUUUGUGCAAUAGAGGGGAGAAGAGAGAGGGGACUUUCCAUGUCUGUGUCCCUGAUAUGGCCUGGCAUCGUGCUUGUGUAAGAGAUUUCGAGAGAGAAAGAGAGUGGGGGGAGAGCGAGCAGAUAGCGCGAGAGAGAAUCAAGAGAGAGAGGGAGAGCGCGAGUUUACAAGGAGAGGAGAGGAGAGGCGCUGGAUAAGAAAAAGACAAACAGAAUCAUGCCAUUCGCGCGGCGUGUUCGUUUUCGCUGUUGUGUGUGCACUCCGGAGAGAGAACAGAAAAUAGAGAAGUGAACAAACGUUAGUCAAUCCUACCAAUAAGUGGCAUCAACAGUAAUUUUUUACAUUUCUUGUGUAACGUCAGAGGAAGAAAAAGAAGAAGAAGAAAAAAAGGAAAAGAGGAGAAUAUUUUCUUCAGAGUGUGGAAGACACAUUUUUUCCCCUGUAAAUAAAAGAAGACUUUUUACUCCAAAAAAAAGAGGAAUAUUCCUCUGAUUUUGUGAAUUUUCUUCUUCUGCACAAUUUCGAGUUAUUGACGUUGAGUUUAGUACAGUUAAUCAAGGCUAACUGUCGUCAUACAUGAAAGCAUGAUAAGAAAUUGAGUUCAAGAAAUAUCAAUCGGAUUUUAUUUCUGGUUUCUUUUCUCGGAAGGACAAUUUGACAAUUUGGAAAAUUUUAAAGAACUUUGUAAACUGAGAAACAAGUUAAAAAGUGAGAAAAUUACAAAAAAAAAUUAAAAACCAUAAUUUAAAGAAUCUUUGUGGGGGAAAAGCAUUGUCUCAAGGGACUUUUGUUUUCGUCGAAAAAAAAAGUGUUACCUUUAUGAACUGAAUUUGUUAUCAAGUGUGGUGGCAAAAGGGAGACUUGACAAUAACAAAAAAAGAAGAAAAAAAACAAUAUUCAAGUUGCGCAUGUUCAACGAAGAAAUAGGCUGCACGGUCAUGCUCUUUAAAGGCAAUUUUAACUGUACUUUUGUGCCGAGCGAAAAAAAAGUCUAAUUGUACCUCAAGUUUUCACGGAACUUGUCCUUCAGCCUUCUCUCUCUCUCUCUUUUCCUAAGUUCCUUGAUAUGUCAGACAAAAGGUGUUAAAGCGCAACUAUUUUUUCCCCCUGAAAAAAUUGUUUGUUUAGAAAAAUUUGUUUUGUAUACAAAAAAAGACCAAAAAUUCUCGAAAACCGGAAAAAUUGAAAUCGAAUCGAAAAGUUGUUUUGGAGAAAUUGGAAAUUAUUUCUGCUGCAUUUUAUUUUAUCCAGUGGAACGAGGAAGUUCCGAAUAAAGGAGAAAAGACAGGUUUUUGUUUUUUAAAAUUAGAAAUUUCUUCCUUUGGAUCUGAAGGGCAAAUGGAAGGAGGAAGAAAAUAGAGAAAAUUCAGGAAAUAUUGGAAAAAAAGAAGAGGAAAUUCAGAUUUUAAUCCAAGGAUUAGUAUUUUAAUCGAAGACAAAAAGAAAAUUUGUUUUUAGAAAAGAAAAUUGUUUUUUGAAAAUAAUACAGUCGGAGCUUUAAAAGCAGAAAAAAGUAUAAAGUGUGAAAAGGAAAAAAAUAAGUGGCACAAAAGUGUAAA